UUAUACGGGAAAAAACCCUCUGACGUGUCAGAGGCUGAUGGUACCGUAAGAAUAAGCAUCGGCUAACUCCGUGCCAGCAGCCGCGGUAAUACGGAGGAUGCAAGCGUUAUCCGGAUUUACUGGGUUUAAAGGGUGCGCAGGCGGAACGACAAGUCAGUGGUGAAAUCUCCUGGCUCAACCAGGAAACUGCCAUUGAUACUAUCGUUCUUGAGUCCAGUUGAAGUAGGCGGAAUGUAGCAUGUAGCGGUGAAAUGCUUAGAUAUGCUACAGAACACCGAUAGCGAAGGCAGCUUACUAAACUGAAACUGACGCUCAUGCACGAAAGCGUGGGGAUCAAAAAGGAUUAGUNCCCUGNUGUCCACNCCCUAAACCCUUAAAGGAGUGUGGCAACUAUAUCGUCAGCGACUAAGCGAAAGCAUUAAGUGAUCCACCCGGGGAGUGCGAUCGCAAGGUUGAAACUCAAAGGAAAUGACGGGGGCCCGCACAAGCGGAGGAGCAUGUGGUUUAAUUCGAUGAUACGCGAGGAACCUUACCUGGGCUAGAACGCAGAACGACGUUUCGGGAAACCGGAAUUCUCUUCGGAGCGAUCUGCGAGGUGCUGCAUGGUUGUCGUCAGCUCGUGCCGUGAGGUGUCGGGUUAAGUCCCAUAACGAGCGCAACCCCUAUUCUUAGUUGCCAUCAGGUAAUGCUGGGGACUCUAAGAAAACUGCCUACGCAAGUAGUGAGGAAGGUGGGGAGGACGUCAAAUCAGCACGGCCCCUAUGUCCAGGGCUACACACGUGCUACAAUGGCCGGUACAGAGGGCAGCCACCUGGUGACAGGGAGCAAAUCUCCAAAGCCGGUCUCAGUUCGGAUCGAAGUCUGCAACUCGACUUCGUGAAGUUGGAUUCGCUAGUAAUCGUAUGUCAGCAACGAUAC
rnacentral:rRNA from 1 species